rnacentral:rRNA from 1 species
AGGGGAGUGAAAAAGAACCUGAAACCGUGUACGUACAAGCAGUGGGAGCCCCACCACUAAGCCAGUGGUGAACUCCACAUACGCAUCCUUUGCUGAGGAUACGGUUAACGGAGCGAAAGCGACGUUCAACCUCAAAAGAAGCAGAGGGGGCUUAGUGGUGGGGUGACUGCGUACCUUUUGUAUAAUGGGUCAGCGACUUAUAUUCUGUAGCAAGGUUAACCGCAUAGGGGAGCCGGAGGGAAACCGAGUCUUAAUUGGGCGUUAAGUUGCAGGGUAUAGACCCGAAACCCGGUGAUCUAGCCAUGGGCAGGUUGAAGGUUGGGUAACACUAACUGGAGGACCGAACCGACUAAUGUUGAAAAAUUAGCGGAUGACCUGUGGCUGGGGGUGAAAGGCCAAUCAAACCGGGAGAUAGCUGGUUCUCCCCGAAAGCUAUUUAGGUAGCGCCUCGUGAAUUCAUCUCCGGGGGUAGAGCACUGUUUCGGCUAGGGGGCCAUCCCGGCUUACCAACCCGAUGCAAACUGCGAAUACCGGAGAAUGUUAUCACGGGAGACACACGGCGGGUGCUAACGUCCGUCGUGAAGAGGGAAACAACCCAGACCGCCAGCUAAGGUCCCAAAGUCAUGGUUAAGUGGGAAACGAUGUGGGAAGGCCCAGACAGCCAGGAUGUUGGCUUAGAAGCAGCCAUCAUUUAAAGAAAGCGUAAUAGCUCACUGGUCGAGUCGGCCUGCGCGGAAGAUGUAACGGGGCUAAACCAU